rnacentral:pre_miRNA from 1 species
GGGGAAUGUUGUCUGGCUCGAGGUCACUCAGAUUUGAUGACGAUGAUUCUUUGAGCUGAGUGACGUCGGACCAGGCUUCAUUCC